rnacentral:rRNA from 1 species
GACGAACGCUGGCGGCGUGCUUAACACAUGCAAGUCGAACGGAAAGGCCCUGCUUUUGUGGGGUGCUCGAGUGGCGAACGGGUGAGUAACACGUGAUUAACCUGCCCUUGACUUUGGGAUAACUUCAGGAAACUGGGGCUAAUACCGGAUAGGAGCUCCUGCUGCAUGGUGGGGGUUGGAAAGUUUCGGCGGUUGGGGAUGGACUCGCGGCUUAUCAGCUUGUUGGUGGGGUAGUGGCUUACCAAGGCUUUGACGGGUAGCCGGCCUGAGAGGGUGACCGGCCACAUUGGGACUGAGAUACGGCCCAGACUCCUACGGGAGGAAGCAGUGGGGAAUAUUGCACAAUGGGCGGAAGCCUGAUGCAGCAACGCCGCGUGCGGGAUGACGGCCUUCGGGUUGUAAACCGCUUUCGCCUGUGACGAAGCGUGAGUGACGGUAAUGGGUAAAGAAGCACCGGCUAACUACGUG